rnacentral:rRNA from 1 species
UAGGGCGAACGGGUGAGUAAUACAUAAGCAACCUACCCACCGAAGACUGGGGAUAAAUCUCUGGAAACGGGGACUAAUACCGGAUAGGUAAUCGGAAAGGCGAUCUUCUGAUUAUUAAAGGUUAAAAAACACUGGUGGAUGGGCUUAUGGCGCAUUAGUUAGUUGGUGAGGUAACGGCCCACCAAGACGAUGAUGCGUAGCCGGCCUGAGAGGGUGAACGGCCACAUUGGGACUGAGACACGGCCCAG